CGGGGGCGCGGGGGUGGGAGCAGCAGCCGAGGGUCCCCGCCCGCCCUGCGCGCAGCCUCCCGGAGAGCUUCGGCUCUGCCCACCCUGCGCGGGGAGCCCCAGCGCCUCGGACCCGCGAGCGACCCCGUCCCGGCCACACGCAGACCCCGAGCCCUGACCUCCGCCCGCGGCCCCUCGCCCCGCAGACCUUGGUCCCCUGGAUCCUGGUGCAGCAGGCCCCCGACCCCGCGGGCCCUGGCACAGCAGGUGGCGAUCACGGCGGGUCCUGGCUCCCCGCGGGGACACCCCAGGUGUGGAGGAGCGCGGCGGGGCGUGGGGGCCGUGGCUCAGCGCCCCUUCCUCUCGCUCCCUCCGCGUCCCUGGGCGGGCACCUCCUUGCACCCUUCCUCCAGUCCCCGGGUUCUCGCCGCUUCUUUCUGCUGCCUUCCUGAUUUUCUGGAUGAACCCACACCCGCACUCGCCCCCACCGCGCCUCUUUGCAGAGCAGAUGGGGGCUGGAGUGGGAGCCGACAUGGGUGGACCGGGGGGCGGUCCUUGGGGUGCCCUUUAACUCUUUCUGUGCCACAUCCCCGGUCUCCAGCCAGUUCUGUGGCGCGGAGGCUCCUCCGGCACCGCUCAAACGCAGCAGCGCGCGGACCUGGGCCCCAACCGGCUGGUCCUCUCCCCUCCCUGUCGCACCACCUCCUUUCUUAGGAGCGGAAAAGCCCCAGCCAGAAGCCCUACCUUCCCCAAGAGGCCCGCUCAGGGGACAUUCUCCCCUCCCUCACUCCCCCUAAAGCCCACAUCACGCCUGGCUUUGGGGUCACCGGAACCUCGGCCCCCGCCCCUCCCCUUCCAACCCCAGCAGUCCCUGCUCUGUGCCUAGUGAUCUUGGCGUCACCACAACCCCAUGGACGCCUUGAGGCCUCACCUCUCCCGGCCCGUCAGCAUCCUGGGACACUGAUGUUCAUGCCCUCCUUCUGGAAAGUUCUCCCCCCGGCUGUGGCUUCCAGGAUGAGCACUCUCCGCCUCCCACUUCCGCCCCUUCUCCUGCCCGCUCUUCCCUUCUCCCCGAGAGGUCCUCUUCCCCACCGAGCCCCUCCCGUGUCCCUGACCGUGUCCCUGACUGUAGUGCCCUGCUCCUGUCCGGUGGCGAUGGCGCCUCUGUGUCCACUGCGAAGCCUCCCCCCGCGUCUCCAGUCCUUCUCCUGGUCCGCCUGCAUUUCCCUAGAGCUGUCCUGGUCACCCUCACCCUGGGACUCCCCCUGUCCGUGAAUCUGCCUCGGCUACCCCAUCCUCUCCCCUGUCUACCGACAAGAGCAGAGGCGGACGUGGGACAGGACACAGGGUGGCAGCCCUGCAAACUGCAUCCACCCGUUGGGAUAAGCAGCUGGAGUGUCCCUACCCACAUGGGACCCACCGCCUGCAGGGAACGGAGGACCCCUGCCUCACUAUCAGAGCCACUGGAGAAUUGCCCCCACCCCACCUCUUGUAUUCAGAGGCCCUGACCCCUAGGGAUCCCAGACUAGGGGUGCCUUGAUGGGGAGCCCACCUGUGGCCUGCGGGUGCUGGGCUGUGGGGGGCAAUCCUCCAGGAUCCCCAGCCCCACCUUCCCAACCUUCUGUUGAGGUUGGGAAGACACGGAGAGCCCCCCUCCCUUCUCCUCCCCACUCCCCACUCCUCACUUUUCCAGGGGCACAGACAACGAGGUUUUGAUCUUGGGUAAUGGUGCCCUCCAGCCUCGGUCUGAGACCUCUGUGAGUGGGGGUGAUGAGCAGUGGGGUGACGGGGACCACCUCCUGGUGGCUGCAGGGACUGGGAUGAGGCUGCUGCAGGCUCUGCACAAAUCGGGUGCCAUGGGGCUGCAGGAGAGGGCGCCCGGCCCUGCAGGAGUCCUUUCCUGCCCCUGGGUCCAGGCCGGAGACUGGCAGCUGGAGCCUGGUACCCGCAGGAAGACAAGCAGAAGAAAACAUUUGGGUCCAGCUUCUCACAGGCCCGUCUGAACCCUGCCAAGUCAGUUUGGCAAGAAGCCCCCAUCCCCCACAUCUGAUCGGGGUCCUCAGCCUGCCUGCAGCGAGAUUCCUGUUACCUGGGUCUUGCCAAAAUCCCCCAGCUGCUUCCUCCUAGGGAUCUUCCACCUCCCGACCGCGCCCCGCUCCUCCGAUCUGAAUCGCCUCCUGCCGGUGCUGCCUUCGGAGUUGAGCCCAGGUCUCUACUAAAGCCUUUUUCCCCGAUACGAUAGUCCUCAACAAAGUCUGUUUGUUAACUGCUAUCCCCUGCUGGUUUCCCUUGACACUGGUGAGAUAUAUAAACAGACGGCAGCUGGGAAUGGAGGGGGCGGGGCCUUCCCAGGCAGCGGUGGGGACCCUCCAUCCAGUCCCCAGGGUCCUCCUCACUUCGGGGGUCCUUCCUGGAGGUGUGCUUGGUCCUGUGCUGCAGUGCGGGCUGCAGGGGGGCUGGGGGCUGGUCUGCACCCCCCCACCCCUGAGACGUGGGUUUCUCUGUGCUGGCGAUUCUGGAGACAGCAUCUGCAGGGCUUAAUCCCGGCGUCUGGCAAGACUUACAGAGCCCAUACCACCAGCGAGGUUCCAGGUCUACGGGCAAGCUCGGACGCCCCACCUGCAAGGGACAGGUGCAGGGGCUGCCGAGGAGGAGGGGCCACGGGGGCCCCCCGAAGCCAGGGCGGAGGAACCAAGGGUGGGAGGGAGGCAGAUUCUGGGACCAGAAAAUGUGGGAAUGCAGGAAGGGAAACAGGAGGGGCGGUGGGGCUGCCCCACAGAGAGGACCUCUGUGAGAUCAGGGGCAUCAUUUCCCAGGCUGUCUUGAGUGUGCAUUCAUACAUUUUUACUUGGAUAUUAGUUCUGUAAUCAGAUUUUCUCCCCACAGCCUGUAACACAAGCCCUUCCUCAGACUAAUAAGAAGGCCUCUCCACGAGGCCCGGUGAGGUGGCUCACACCUGUAACCCCAG